GUGCUUGUUUCAACAGCACAUAUACCAAAAUUGGGACAAUACAGAGAAUAUAUUGGCGUGGCCCCUGCACAAGGACGACAUGCAAAUUUGUGAAGCAUUCAAUGUUUUU